CCUACGGGGGUCAGCAGUGAGGAAUAUUGGUCAAUGGACGGAAGUCUGAACAAGCCAUGCCGCUUGCAGGAAGACGGCUCUAUAGGUGGUAAACUGCUUUUGUACAAGGGUAAACCUGAAUACGGGUAUUCAGCUGCAAGUACUGUACGAAUAGGGACCGGCUAACUCCGUGCCAGAAGCCGCGGUAAUACGGAGGAUCCAGGCGUUAUCCGGAUUUGUUGGGUUUAAAGGGUGCGUAGGCGGAUUGAUAAGUUAGAGGUGAAAUGUCCGAGCUUAACUCGGGAACUGCCUCUAAUACUGUUGAUCUAGAGAGUAGAUGCGGUAGGCGGAAUGUAUGGUGUAGCGGUGAAAUGCUUAGAGAUCAUACAGAACACCGAUUGCGAAGGCAGCUUACCAAUCUAUAUCUGACGUUGAGGCACGAAAGCGUGGGGAGCAAACAGGAUUAGAUACCCGGGUAGUC
rnacentral:rRNA from 1 species